GACGAACGCUGGCGGCGUGCCUAAUACAUGCAAGUCGAGCGAAGUUUUUCUGGUGCUUGCACUAGAAAAACUUAGCGGCGAACGGGUGAGUAACACGUAAAGAACCUGCCUCAUAGACUGGGACAACUAUUGGAAACGAUAGCUAAUACCGGAUAACAGUAUUUCUCGCAUGAGAGAUAUUUAAAAGUUGGUUAUGCUAACACUAUGAGAUGGCUUUGCGGUGCAUUAGCUAGUUGGUGGGGUAAAGGCCCACCAAGGCGACGAUGCAUAGCCGACCUGAGAGGGUGAUCGGCCACACUGGGACUGAGACACGGCCCAGACUCCUACGGGAGGCAGCAGUAGGGAAUCUUCCGCAAUGGGCGAAAGCCUGACGGAGCAACGCCGCGUGAGUGAAGAAGGAUUUCGGUUCGUAAAGCUCUGUUGUUAGGGAAGAAUGGAUAUGUAGUAACUAUACAUAUAAGAG
rnacentral:rRNA from 1 species